rnacentral:pre_miRNA from 1 species
GAGUGGAGAGGGGAGAGGAGACAGGGAUGGAGCAGAGCAAAGGAUGGGGCAAGCAACAAACUUCACUUCCUUCCACUCAUCACCUCCUGAUUGUCAGAGGAGCAAGAGAGUUGUGAGAGACCAGCUGAGAGCUUCUGUUGCUGUUGUUGCUCCCUCCCUGCACUGCCUCUUCCCUGGCUCCCCUCCCAAAUCUCUCC